rnacentral:rRNA from 1 species
GGCUUAUUGAGUAUAAUUUUAGGUYUGACCUGCCCUAUGAGAUGUUAAAUGGCUGCAGUAUACUAACUGUACAAAGGUAGCAUAAUCAUUUGUUUUUUAAUUGAAAGCUAGAAUGAAAGGUUUGAUGAGAAAAUUUCUGUCUCUGUGAAAAUUUAUUAGAAUUUUAUUUUUAAGUGAAAAAGCUUAAAUUUGUAUAGAAGACGAGAAGACCCUAUAGAGUUUAAUAUUUUUUAGGAUUUAAUUUAUAUAUAGGUAUAAAAUUAUUUUUUUUUAAAAAUUAUUUUGUUGGGGUGAUAGAAAAAUUUGUUAAACUUUUUAUUAUUGAAAUACUAAUUUGUAAGUGAGUGAUCCCUUGUUUGUUUGGAUUAAAAGAUUAAAUUACCUUAGGGAUAACAGCGUUAUUUUUUUUAGAGUUCUUAUCGAAGAAAAAGAUUGCGACCUCGAUGUUGGAUUAAAAUUUAUUGUUGGUGAAGAAGCUAACAAAUAUAGGUCUGUUCGACCUUUGAAAUUUUACAUGAUCUGAGUUUAAACCGGUGUGAG